CAACCCUUUAAAAAUGUGCCAUUGUAUUGUGAUAAGUCACUGUGUGUUGCUUGAUAUGGUUUGACUGUUUGUGAUUUUAUUGAGGUUUCACAACAAUGUUACUGUGGUGACCCUAUUGGCUGGUCCCAAGGGAAAUAAAGGUUUUGACAGUUCUUCUUGAUCCCUCUAAACGUAGCCUUGUCUCGUUAUUGGAGGGAGCUGGUAUAAUCACACUGGGGAUUGCUAUGCUCUGCAUGCUCCCCUGAGCUUGAGUCACUUAGCUCUUUUAAGAGCUUGUUCCUGAUACACUCUCCUUGGAGGAGGGGUCUUCACCACACAGUCCUGGAUGCUGGAGGUUCAUACAGGGUGGAAGGAAGAGUUUUUUCCCACACAGUCCUGGAGGACAGAAGCUGAUUCAGGUUGGAAGGAAGACGGCGAGACUCCAGUCAAGAUACGGCGGUUGCGGAGUCUGCGGUGGUUGUGGUGUCUGCUGCAGUGCUUGGAGUCCUCAGGAAGCGCUAGGAGCAUCCAUCAACGGAGGGUACUCGGUCGGAGUACAGGGAGCUCCGUUACAGUACUGUUUCAAUGGGAGCAGCUAACACAGGCGCUUGUGUAAGAACAUCUAUUAACAGGUUCCAACUCUUUCCAGCUUCCUCUGUCCAGAGUAGCUUAUCUGUAUUAGCACUAUCUUUUAGCAUAUUGUACAGGGGUUUUGCUAUCCCUGCCAUAUCAUAGAUGAAUUCUCUGCUAAAAUUUACCAAACCUAAAAAUUUCCUUAGAUCAGACACUGUCAUUGGCCUUGGCAAUUGCUGUAACGCUUUAACCCUUGCUGUUCGUGGUGUUUUACCUGCUGGAUCUAUAUUUACUCCUAAGAAAGCCACGCUUUCUUUCAAGAUCUGCACUUUGAAUGUGUUCAGUUUUAACCCAUUAUCUGCCAGUGCUUGACAAAUAUCACACAGUAUCUGCUCAUGCUCUUCCCUUGCUACUGUUUGAACCAACAGAUCAUCAACAUAUUGCAAAAUCUUGUUCCCAUACCCCAGGGGUUCCAAUACUUGAGCCAGUGCUUUAUGAAAAUAAGCUGGCGAGGAGUGGAAGCCCUGUGGCAGCACCUGGAACAGAUAUUGAUGAUUUUUAAAGGUAAAAGCAAAACGAUACUGACUAUCUGGAUGUACUGGUAUUGAGAAAAACCCAUUGGCUAUAUCCAGAACAGAAAAAUACUUAGCAUUGCCGUCUAUUUGUGCCAUGAUAUCUGGUGAGGAGGCCACUAUAUGGGCUGCUGGUGGGGUAUACUUAUUCACCACUCGCAUGUCCACAAUUAACCGAUAAGAGCCAUCUGGCUUAAUUAUUGGCCAAAUGGGGGAAUUACAUUUGGAAUUACCCACUCUCAGCACUCCUUGAGA